UGUUUGUAUGUAUGUGUGUAAAUAAAUCUAUGUUUCAGAGGGAACAUGGUCAUCCUACUCUAGGAUGGUUCCUAGGCUAUUUUAUACUAAAACUUCAGAAAAAAAUUGGCUGCACUUUGCAGUUGUCACUUUUUAAAAAAUAAAUGCCUUGCACAUUUCCAUUUUUUUAAAUGCAUAGAAUCAUAGGCCUUAAAAAUUGCUUGUCAACAUUUUAGAAAUUCUGUAUAGUGCUACCUGUGAUAUACUUUAAGCAAAGUCACCAUAAACUGUUCUCUUACGUUCAUGUAUUAUUGAGCAAAUAAGGAUGUUCUUUCUAUAAAUUUCUACAUUUUUGUGUAAAAUCCUUGCUAUAUUGUGUUCUAAGUUUCUCAGAGAGGAUGUUUAUACCAGAUGUAGUAUUUCUAAAAUACAGCUCUAACCAUGACUGAGCUAGUGGUGGAGAGAUUCUGGCACUGUAGCCUGUUUAUCCUUUUGAACUAUACAUAGAAAGCAUUCACAGAAACCUCAGAGUAUCUUGGGCUGCAUGUUCUUAGUUUUGCCUUGUUUCCCAUCUCAUCAGGGCCCAUGCUGGUUCUUGUCCCCUCCAAGGAUUAUGAGCCCUGCGAAGACAAGGCCUGGGAUCUUCUGGACAAGUUUGGGGGGUGGGGGUGCCCUGUGGUUGGGCCUGACUUCUAGUUGGUGGAAUCGUUCAAGCCUGCCUAGAGUUCAGGGGUGGGAAUGCCAUGUACUGGUAUGACAUUCAUUACUUGGCACUUUGGGGGCACCAUUAUUAGCACUGUUUCAUUUUUUAAUAACUGGAAGCACUUAAUGAUUAUUUUGUUUAAUUUCAACUUAAGGAUAUUGAGGGUCAGGGACGUUAAGGUUUAUUGUUUAUACUUUCUGGAACUUAAGACUAUUUGGAUAAGGGAUAAAUGGAUUACCCAGUGAGCCAUUCUAGGCCCUGCAAGGUAUGCUCUUUUGACUAGGAUGCUUUAAAAAAUUUACAAUCUUUUAAUAUUGUGCUUUUGUAAAAAUGUAUGACUUUUAAUAAUUUGCAGUUGGUGCAUUAUACUCAACUUUGUGAACUUGCCAACUUUCUUUUCUGUUUAAUCAUUGUUGCUUAUUGUCUAUCAUGUAGGGGACAUAGUUCCUUCUAAGACAUUUCAUACUUUUUGUUUUUGAUGGCAGUAUUACCAAGGGUGUUUAUGUGUACAUUACAUUCAUUGCUUAUGUGAUAAAGGAACACCAACAUAUUGUAUGAAUUUCCCUGUUCAGUAUUAGUGAAAUUAAGAUACAUAUAUGUGAAAUUAACUAAGAUGCAUAUAUGUAAAGGCAGAAAUGAAUACAACUAAUUUUUGAUUACUUGAGGCCUAUUUAUUUGGUUUGGCCAUUCAGCCUUUUCUAGUCACAAUCAUAGGUAUUUUUUUCACUUUUACCUUCUAGCAGUUUCAUUUAUCUUUGUGGGUAGAGAAGAUUAAAUAUGAAACUCAGUCCAGUCAUUUUGCUACUGAUGGGCUUUGGAUUGAGGCAAAUACAAUUUUCGACUAAAACUAGAUUUUUAGAAUGAAAAAACUUUUCACUAGAUAAUCAAGUUGACUUUUUAAAAAAGUGUACAAUCUUGUGUUUUGAAGAACAAAUAAUUUUCUAUGAGUCCUACUGGAUCUUCAAGUGUGGACAUCACUUGAAAAUUAAAUAAUGUUAAACUUUUGAUUUUCACCCACUGAAUCUGUAAGUCAGAAAGAAAAAGCACGUCUGCUCUGGUGUUAACACACAGAGACGCAUCCUUUACAUCAUGUGUCUCAGCUUGCCUCUGUGGUAAUGAGAACUUGUCAGGGUGCUCUCCUCAGACCUUGAUUCUUUCAGCUGUGAAGACAGUUACUUCAUUGUUUAUUUUUCUCCUUGUUUAUUCUGUUGAAAUCUGUCUCUCAUAAUAUCUAGUAUCCUCUACUCUUGUAUAAACAGAAUACUUACAUAGAAUGCCAGUGUACACCUACCUACCCAAAAGACUGCAUUACUGCUAAAGUGUCAUUAAUAAUUUGUCUUGAUUAACUUCAGUGUAACUUACAUGAGGGAGACCUUCAAAGUAUUAAAACCACAUUUCUUUUCUUUUUCCUAAAACAAUUCAAGUGACGGUAACUGCCUACACAUUUAUUAAAAUCACAUCAAUCAUUGAUGCAACUGGAGAGAGACUGCCACCUCUCUAGCCGAGCAGUCUGACUUACCUGUUGGGAAACUAAGGAGUGUUGUCUUAAGGUGAUUAAGAUUAGCCAGAGCCUUAGCUCUACGUGUGUGUGGCAGAGAAAUUUUACAGAAUCUAGGUUGGUGAGGAAGAGCCUGCGCUGACACUUUGAGGGCUUCAAAAUAUGCUGCUUUUAAGAGGAAAAAGUGUAGUUAAUACUCAGUGCAUCUCCAGACAGAGUAAGGGAUUGCUCUGAAAACUAAUCAGGUGAUCUUUGUUUUCUAUUGCUUCAAGUUUUAUACAAAAUAUUGUUAAAUUCUGUAAUGAUGAUAUGCAUCUUUUUAGAAAGAUAAUACAUUUUAAAAAACUAUUUUAUGUAAGAACUGACAGAGGAAUUUGCUUUGUAUAAUGGCAAGCUGGCUUUAAGAAAGCACUGUAUCAAAUUUACUAGUCCAAAAUUAUAUAGAUAUGUUAAUAGAUGUAUGUGCAACUAGAUAUGGACAAUUGAUUUAAAGCCUGUGUUGAGAUAGGUAGUGAAAAGAGGAAAUUGUAAAAUGAUUGUUGAUAUAAAAAGGAAUUAAAAGAAUACUAACUGGCUAGAAAAAUUA
rnacentral:lncRNA from 1 species